AACGCGAAGAACCUUACCAAGACUUGACAUCCCGCUGACCGCUCUAGAGAUAGAGUUUCCCUUCGGGGCAGCGGUGACAGGUGGUGCAUGGUUGUCGUCAGCUCGUGUCGUGAGAUGUUGGGUUAAGUCCCGCAACGAGCGCAACCCUUACGUUGUGUUGCCAUCAUUCAGUUGGGCACUCACAAUGGACUGCCGGUGACAAACCGGAGGAAGGCGGGGAUGACGUCAAAUCAUCAUGCCCCUUAUGUCUUGGGCUACACACGUGCUACAAUGGGCGGUACAAAGGGAUGCGAAACCGCGAGGUGGAGCUAAUCUCAUAAAGCCGUUCGUAGUUCGGAUUGCAGGCUGCAACUCGCCUGCAUGAAGCCGGAAUUGCUAGUAAUCGCGGAUCAGCAUGCCGCGGUGAAUUCGUUCCCGGGCCUUGUACACACCGAUACUC
rnacentral:rRNA from 1 species